AACCUCCGCAAUGUGAGAAAUCGCGACGGGGGGAUCCCAAGUGCCAUUCUUAACGGGAUGGCUUUUCAUUAGUGUAAAGAGCUUUUGGAAUAAGGGCUGGGCAAGACCGGUGCCAGCCGCCGCGGUAACACCGGCAGCUCUAGUGGUAGCAGUUUUUAUUGGGCCUAAAGCGUCCGUAGCCGGUUUAAUAAGUCUCUGGUGAAAUCCUGUAGCUUAACUGUGGGAAUAGCUGGAGAUACUAUUAGACUUGAGACCGGGAGAGGUUAGAGGUACUCCCAGGGUAGAGGUGAAAUUCUGUAAUCCUGGGAGGACCGCCUGUUGCGAAGGCGUCUAACUGGAACGGUUCUGACGGUGAGGGACGAAAGUUAGGGGCGCGAACCGGAUUAGAUACCCGGGUAGUCCUAACUGUAAACGAUGCGGACUUGGUGUUGGGGUGGCUUCGAGCUGCUCCAGUGCCGAAGGGAAGCUGUUAAGUCCGCCGCCUGGGAAGUACGGUCGCAAGACUGAAACUUAAAGGAAUU
rnacentral:rRNA from 1 species